UACGGAAGGCAGCAGUGGGGAAUAUUGCACAAUGGGCGAAAGCCUGAUGCAGCUAUGCCGCGUGUAUGAAGAAGGCCUUAGGGUUGUAAAGUACUUUCAUCGGGGAGGAAAAAACAAAACUAAUAAUUUUAUUUCUUGACGUUACCCGAAAAAGAAGCACCGGCUAACUCCGUGCCAGCAGCCGCGGUAAUACGGAGGGUGCUAGCGUUAAUCAGAAUUACUGGGCGUAAAGAGCACGUAGGUGGUUUUUUUAAGUCAGAUGUGAAAUCCCUGGGCUUAACCUAGGAACUGCAUUUUGAAACUGAAAUACUAGAGUAUCGUAGAGGGAGGUAGAAUUCUAGGUGUAGCGGUGAAAUGCGUAGAUAUCUGGAGGAAUACCUGUGGCGAAAGCGGCCUCCUAAACGAAUACUGACACUGAGGUGCGAAAGCGUGGGGAGCAAACAGGGAUUGAUACC
rnacentral:rRNA from 1 species